UGGGGAAUAUUGCACAAUGGGCGAAAGCCUGAUGCAGCCAUGCCGCGUGUAUGAAGAAGGCCUUCGGGUUGUAAAGUACUUUCAGUUGUGAGGAAGGGGGUAAUGUUAAUAGCGUUAUCUCUUGACGUUAGCAACAGAAGAAGCACCGGCUAACUCCGUGCCAGCAGCCGCGGUAAUACGGAGGGUGCGAGCGUUAAUCGGAAUUACUGGGCGUAAAGCGCAUGCAGGUGGUUCAUUAAGUCAGAUGUGAAAGCCCGGGCUCAACCUCGGAACUGCAUUUGAAACUGGUGAACUAGAGUGCUGUAGAGGGGGGUAGAAUUUCAGGUGUAGCGGUGAAAUGCGUAGAGAUCUGAAGGAAUACCAGUGGCGAAGGCGGCCCCCUGGACAGACACUGACACUCAGAUGCGAAAGCGUGGGGAGCAAACAGGAUUAGAUACCCUGGUAGUCCACGCCGUAAACGAUGUCUACUUGGAGGUUGUGGCCUUGAGCCGUG
rnacentral:rRNA from 1 species